GACACGAUGGCCGAGUGGUCUAAGGCGGUAGAUUUAAGUUUUGUGAUGCAGUCCUUGAAUCUCUACUGGGGAAACCCGCGUGAGUUCGAACCUCACUCGUGUCA